rnacentral:rRNA from 1 species
UACGUAGGUGGCAAGCGUUGUCCGGAUUUAUUGGGCGUAAAGAGCGUGUAGGCGGCUAGGUAGGUCCGUUGUGAAAACUCGAGGCUCAACCUCGAGACGUCGGCGGAAACCAUCUGGCUAGAGUCCGGAAGAGGAGAGUGGAAUUCCUGGUGUAGCGGUGAAAUGCGCAGAUAUCAGGAAGAACACCCGUGGCGAAGGCGGCUCUCUGGGACGGUACUGACGCUGAGACGCGAAAGCGUGGGGAGCGAACAGG